ACACGCUGACUCUGCAUGGAAGACCAGAUCUGGGUCCACACGGAUGAGCUUAAAUCUUCACUGGGUGAUCUUGGUGCUGGAGCCUGAAGGCUAAUCCGGAUCCUUAGAUGGCUAUUCUGAUGCUAUUCGGUGCAUCUUCUCUCACAGAGAAUUAUCAUGCAUGAAGAAAUGUAGAUGGUAAACAUAAAUUUUAUGAGAUAAUGCUGUCCUCACAUAAGUCAUUGUUCAAUGAGAAGGCAGAAGGAGUUGAAGAAUAUGGGACUGGUCAUUUUAUAACAACUUUCCACAAGUCUCUACAAGAGCUACAAUCUUGCAUUCAGCUGAGUCUAAGGUGAGAUCAUACAGCAGUGGAGUGUAAAUUCAGGGUGAAUGAUCUUCUGUUACCAAUGAAAGACACCAUGAACAAUGCCAAAUGCUGACGGGGCAGCAGGACAGGAAAGCAAAGAGCAGGAGAGACAGCAGCCCCCAGAAGACCAGAGCCCCUCCCCUCCCCCAAAUGCGCUCCAAAGUCCCUCCCCUCCCC
rnacentral:lncRNA from 1 species